rnacentral:rRNA from 1 species
UCUCCUGGAAAAGGGUGGUAAUGCCGAAUGUUCCACAUGCUCGCAUGGGUGUGUGGGAAAACGUUUUAGUGCUAUGCGAUGGGAUCGCGUCCUAUCAGCUUGUUGGUGGGGUAGUGGCCUACCAAGGCUUCGACGGGUAGCCGGCCUGAGAGGGCGACCGGCCACAUUGGGACUGAGAUACGGCCCAGACUCCUACGGGAGGCAGCAGUGGGGAAUAUUGCACAAUGGGGGGAACCCUGAUGCAGCGACGCCGCGUGCGGGAUGACGGCCUUCGGGUUGUAAACCGCUUUUAUUGGGGAGCAAGCGUGAGUGAGUGUACCUUUUGAAUAAGCACCGGCUAACUACGUGCCAGCAGCCGCGGUAAUACGUAGGGUGCAAGCGUUGUCCGGAAUUAUUGGGCGUAAAGAGCUCGUAGGCGGUUUGUCGCGUCUGGUGUGAAAGUCCAUCGCUUAACGGUGGAUUGGCGCUGGGUACGGGCAGGCUAGAGUGUAGUAGGGGAGACUGGAAUUCUCGGUGUAACGGUGGAAUGUGUAGAUAUCGGGAAAGAACACCA